AGGAGGUUUUGAAUUUUUUGUUUUUUCAGGAAAAACGGGCUGGAUGGAAAAUGAAACUUGCCCAAUAUUUAUAUUUACUCAGAUUUUCUAGAUCUGUUUAGAACUCCGUCCAAACUUCGCUUUGUUCUUCAUUGCCUGCUGCUGUUAACGACGGUUAUCUCGUUAAAUAACAGCCUCUGCUACAGGAUGCCGACCUGGAAAGAUCAGAGUUCAGGCCCGAACGUCAGACUGAACCUGGAAGAGCGGACGGCAAGCAGCUUGCAGGCCUGGGUUAAGUCAACAUUGGUUUUGACUGAAGCUACGCUCCGCCUCUAUAGCGUGUGUUGUUUGGGAUUUUUUUCAGAUUCACUCCGGACCAAUUUGUUCCAGCUGCUAAAAUGAGGCGACGCUGCCUGUCGGUGUGAGUUAUGGCAGAAGAGGAACAGAGAUCUGACCCACGGUGCUGUGAGAAAACGGCGUCUUCUCAUAUAAGGGUCAGCUGAGUGCAAGCUGCAGCAGUCCAGCAGGAAACCUGAGUUGUUUGUUUAAAGCGACUUGCCAUGCGGUUUGCAUUUUAUUCCGGAUUGUGGGUGCAGCUAAUGAAGACAGUGACAGUUCGUCCUACGCACGCGAGUGACUCAUCCACAUGCUGAUUAAGGGAUCUUCUCACGGAGGAGCCAUCAGGAUCACUCCCUCCCACUCCAUGGACUGCAGCUCGGUGUUUAUCCAGCUGCCCGUUCGGGGUCUCGAAGACCCCCGCUCCUGUCCCGUCCAUCUGAUGGAAGCGCACAAAGAGAGAAGGAGAAAGACUCUUCUGACUCCGAGGGGCCAGCAGAUGGACAGAGAUACCCCACACCAAGUCUGAACUCCUUCAC